CACGGAAACAGCACUAAUUGAGAAAGGUCAACUAAAAGAAGGAUUAUUUAUAAAGUAAUCCAGUUCUUAGUCUUCACGACAAUUAAGAUGUAAGUAAGAAAAAUAAACCAACUAAUCCAGACGUUACCUUGCUGAGUGGUCCUCAGCACCUGUUGGUAAAGUUUGUACCAAUCUGGGAAUCAUAACUCCCCUAAAAAUGCUUCUGAUUAUUUUAUGUUGCUUAACAGGGGAAAUUGUUAGUCUUCUGAGGAGUGAAAUGAAGUUUGUAAGAAUUAUCUGGAAAUUGUAUGUAAUUUUCUUUUCCUUAAGUCCUGUUACUGUUACAGAGCUUCUCACAGCUGGCUCUAAACUACCAGUGGAAAUUAGUAUUUUCUGUUCUUUAUCUGGUUAUAUAAUACAGGAACUGUCUUCUGUGUGGUUGUUCCCAGCACUGCUGUUUAUAGUAUGCACUGAUGUUGUUGUUCCUGUGGACGUUUAACUUAAAGCAGUUCUGUGGUUUGUACGUGUUGCAUUUUACCAAAAUCAUGUCUUCGGGAUAACAAUAUUUCACAAACUCUUUCUUGUGAUGGCUGCAGCUAUUUGUUUCUCCUUACCGUGAAUAGAAACAUAAUGUUAAUUAACUUCUCUUCAAAAUGCAUAUUAGUCAUUACUAUUGCAUUCCAGCUGAGUACAGAUUCUGUUCUCCUGGCACAUCUCUUUCUUCAGAAGGUAAGUGUGGACAUUUUAAAAACUAUUUUUUAUUAUGCAUAGUACAUAUUCAGUAACGUCAAACCUCCUUGUCAUGUUGUUCCUGUUGCGUGAAAAUUGUUCCUGGCUAAGUGUUGUCUGCCCUUCUUCUCAAACAAGCUUUGAGUCCUCUUCUGGCCUGUCAUCAUCAGAAAGUCUUGGAAAGUUUUUAAUAGAAGUGUCAGAGUGACAGAGCACUGAAACAUGUUGCCCAGAGAAGUUGUGGAGUCUCCUUCUAUGGAGUAAUAUAAACCUAGAAACCAUGCAAUCAACUGGGAGGGACAUGCAGAGCACCUUGCUGCUGGAUGAGAAAGAGGCUGUGGGUCCAUGCCCCCCAAGCAGGUGGUGAUGUCUAUGUCUGUCUGGCCCGAGACUGCUGCGUGAGGAAUGGCAGAAUGAAUUCCUACUGUUGUGUAGUACACCUCCCUUCCCUCUCCUCACAACUGUACGUAUGUAUAGAUAUAAAAGUGUGUGUUUAGAUGCAUAGGUUUUCAUUCAGCUUCACAGUUCUAUUCCGUGCUGGCUCUCCCUCAGCACUUCAUGCUUGCUUUAGUUUCAUUGUGGGUAUGGACUACAAAAACACACGAGUACUUCUUUUGCUGUUUCUUAAAUGCAAACACAGUAAAGUCUUCUUUGGAGUUAUGUUUACAGCUAUUCAGAGAGAACUUCUCUUGUGUUCUGCUGGAUAUUUUUUGUUGCUGCUUCGCUCUGAGAUUUAGAGUCCAUUUUGUUUUUCACAAAGACCCAUUCUGAAUUUCCAACAAGUAAAAAUAUGCUGUUAACAAUUAACAUGGAAAAGGCUGUUCUAAAUUUGUAUUGGGAACAAUUUUGGUGCUUGUAACCAUCCCAUGUAUUAUAUUUUUAAUUUCCAUCUGGC
ensembl:lncRNA